GGAGGGAUCAGCAGUAAAGCACAUGCUUAGCGUGCGUGAGGUUCUGGGUUCAAUCCCCAGUACCUCCA
rnacentral:tRNA from 1 species